AUUAUAUAACGGGGUUAUUAUUAUCCACCGUUAUUUUUAUAAUAUAUUGGUUGGAAAUAUUGGUAUUUGCGUCCCGUAUUAAUAUAUUAAAUUGCGGUAACAAAUAUUUAUUAUCCUUUUUAUUUUUUUUAUCGGCGUUUAUAAAUCCGGUUAUCGAAUUUAAUAACAAAUUCGACGUAUUCGAAAAAAUUUUCGGAUCGGUUAAAUUUGGAUAUUUUACUUUUUAUUUUUAAUUUUAAUUUUUAAUAAAAUUGGAAAAUUUUAAUUUUUUCAAUUAUAUCCAAUUUCGUUAUUAAUUUUUUAAAUUCGAUUAUAUAAAUAAAAACUAAUUCAAUUUGUCGCAAAUUUACCAAAUUCCGUUCGGUUUAUUAUUUUUUAUUAAAUUUUUAAAAUAAAAAACGGAAAAUGCGUUUAUAUUUUGCAAAAAUUAAAGAAAUAUCGGUAAUUUUUUAACGUUGCUUUUCGGGGGAUAUAUUAAAUUAUUUUUGUAAUAAAAAUUCGAAUUAAAAUAAAAUUCGUUUUCGGAGGAAAAUGGCCGUAUAUAUUAUUUUUUCCGUUUGAUUGCGGAAAAUUUCCAAAUAAAAUACCUAAUAAAUGCGUAUUUAUAUAAAAUAUUUUUUAAAUUGCCCAAAUAUAUUAUUAAA
rnacentral:sRNA from 1 species